UACAGAGGGUGCGAGCGUUGUUCGGAAUUAUUGGGCGUAAAGCGCGUGUAGGCGGGAUUGUGUGUCGGGCGGGAAAGCCCUCAGCUCAACUGAGGAAGUGCGCCCGAAACUGUAGUUCUUGAGUGUCGGAGAGGGUGGCGGAAUUCCCGGUGUAGAGGUGAAAUUCGUAGAUAUCGGGAGGAACACCAGAGGCGAAGGCGGCCACCUGGACGAACACUGACGCUGAGACGCGAAAGCGUGGGGAGCAAACAGG
rnacentral:rRNA from 1 species